CAAGAAUGGAUAAAGGAGGAACUCACUUCGGAGGCCCAAGAGAAGAUCCAAUCAUGGCCGAUCGGUCUUGGGGAGUGGCAAACAUCACAUGUUGCACAUAUGAACCUCCUUAUUCACGUGUGUUAGUAUUCGCAUGUGCAGGAAGGAGUACCCACACUUGGGAUCAUUUCUUGUAUGAGGGAACAAGUGUGAACACGCAAGAGAGU
rnacentral:lncRNA from 1 species